AUGGAGCGGCGAGGAGGAGCGGCGGCGCCGUCGCUGGAGCUGCCGGGGUUCCGGUUCCACCCCACGGAGGAGGAGCUGCUCGAGUUCUACCUCAAGCACCACGUCACCAGCAACAGCAACAAGAAUCAGCAGCAGCACCUCAGGGCGGCGCCGUUCGACAUCAUCCCCACGGUGCACCUGUACCGGCACGACCCCUGGGACCUCCCGGGGCUGGCCGCCAUCGCCAGCGAGCGGGAGUGGUACUUCCUCGUGCCCCGCGACGGCGCCCGGAAGCACGCGGCGUCCGGCGGCGGCGGCGGCGGGCGCCCGAGCCGCACCACGGAGCGCGGGUUCUGGAAGGCCACGGGGUCCGACCGCGCCGUGCGCUGCGCCGCCGACCCCAAGCGCCUCGUCGGGCUCAAGAAGACGCUCGUCUAUUACCAGGGCCGCGCGCCGCGGGGCACCAAGACCGACUGGGUCAUGAACGAGUACCGGCUGCCCGACCUUGCCGGCGCCGGCGCCGGCGAGCAGCAGGACGUGGUGCUCUGCAAGGUGUACCGCAAGGCCGUGUCGCUCAAGGAGCUGGAGCAGCGGGUGGCCAUGGAGGAGCUCGCGCGCGCGCGCUCCUCCCCGCCCACCGCCACGGCCUCGCGCUCCCUCUCCCACUGCAGCGCCGGCUCGCCCGACGUCUCGUCCGCGUCCGAGGUCGCCCACGAGGCCGCCGUGCAGCACCACGGGGUGAAGAAGGAGGAGGCCGUGGCGGUGGCGGUGGCGAGGCCGGAGGCGAUGCGGCUGCCGCAGCUGGAGACGGCGAGGGGCGGGCUGGAGUGGAUGCAGGACCCGUUCCUGACGCAGCUGAGGAGCCCCUGGAUGGAGGGCCUCUGCUUGUCUCCCUACUACGCCAGCAGCGUCCUCAACUUCUAG
rnacentral:rRNA from 1 species